UACGAAGGGGGCUAGCGUUGUUCGGAAUCACUGGGCGUAAAGGGCGCGUAGGCGGCUUUGUAAGUCGGGGGUGAAAGCCUGUGGCUCAACCACAGAAUUGCCUUCGAUACUGCAUGGCUUGAGACCGGAAGAGGUUAGUGGAACUGCGAGUGUAGAGGUGAAAUUCGUAGAUAUUCGCAAGAACACCAGUGGCGAAGGCGGCUAACUGGUCCGGAUCUGACGCUGAGGCGCGAAGGCGUGGGGAGCGAACGGG
rnacentral:rRNA from 1 species